rnacentral:rRNA from 1 species
CAUUUCCUAGCGGCGGACGGGUGAGUAAUGCUUAGGAAUCUGCCUAUUAGUGGGGGACAACAUUCCGAAAGGGAUGCUAAUACCGCAUACGUCCUACGGGAGAAAGCAGGGGACCUUCGGGCCUUGCGCUAAUAGAUGAGCCCAAGUCGGGUUAGCUAGUUGGUGGGGUAAAGGCCUACCAAGGCGACGAUCUGUAGCGAGUCUGAGAGGAUGAUCCGCCACACUGGGACUGAGACACGGCCCAGACUCCUACGGGAGGCAGCAGUGGGGAAUAUUGGACAAUGGGGGGAACCCUGAUCCAGCCAUGCCGCGUGUGUGAAGAAGGCCUUAUGGUUGUAAAGCACUUUAAGCGAGGAGGAGGCUACCUAGAUUAAUACUCUAGGAUAGUGGACGUUACUCGCAGAAUAAGCACCGGCUAACUCUGUGCCAGCAGCCGCGGUAAUACAGAGGGUGCGAGCGUUAAUCGGAUUUACUGGGCGCAAAGCGUGCGUAGGCGGCUGAUUAAGUCGGAUGUGAAAUCCCUGAGCUUAACUUAGGA